AUUGAAAAAUUUAUUUGAUUAAAAUUUAAGUUUAAAUUUUUUAAUAAAAAUUUUUUUAGUAAUUUUUUGAAAUAAUAUUUUUAAUUAUAGUUUAUAGUAUUGUGAGAGAAUAUAUAGAAAUUUAAAAAAGAAAAAUUAGGGUUUUGUACCUUGUGUAUCAGGGUUUAUAAAUUAAAGUUUAGAAUUUAAAUUUUCCCGAAUUAAAAAGAGUUAAUUAUAUAUAUAUAUUAUUGUAAAAUAAAUAUUUAAAAUAUGUAUUUUGUAAUGAAAUGUUAGUCGUUUUUUAAUAUAUCUGGUUUUUAAAGAAAAGUAUUUAAUAUAGUUUUAAUUAAUAUAAUUAUAAUUUUUUAUUUUUAUUUUAUUUAUUUCUUAUUUUUUAAGGGAUUAGCUUUAAAAAAAAUUUUUAUAAUGUAUUAAAUUUUAAAUAAAUUAUAGGAUUAGAAUUUUUCAUUUUUAAAAGGAUGUUAUAAUUGAUUAUUUUUAUUUAUAUUUUAUUGUAUUUUAAAUUUUUUAUUUAAAUUUAAAUAAUAAUUUUUUUGUUUAUAAAUAAUGAUAAAAUUAGUAUAAUUUUAUGUAAAGUUAUUUUAUUUAUGAAAAAUAAUUUUAAGGAAUUCGGCAAAAUUUUUUCUACCUGUUUAUUAAAAACAUGUCUUUUUGAUUAUAAUUUAAAGUCUGACCUGCUCAAUGAGUAUUAAAUAGCCGCAGUAUAUUGACUGUGCAAAGGUAGCAUAAUCAUUAGUUUUUUAAUUGAAAGCUGGAAUGAAUGGUUUAAUAAGAAAAAUUCUGUCUCAAUUUUAAUUUUUGAAUUUUAUUUUUAAGUUAAAAAGCUUAAAUUUGUUAAAAAGACGAGAAGACCCUAUAGAGUUUUAUAAGAAUAAUUUAAUUUUUAUUAAGAUUUAAAUUUAAAAUUAUUUUUUAUUAUUUUGUUGGGGUGAUGUAAAAAUUUAGUAAACUUUUUAUUUAUAAAAUCAUUAAUUUAUGUAUAAUUGAUCUUAAUUUUUGGAUUGGAAGAUAAAUUACCUUAGGGAUAACAGCGUAAUUUUUUUUGAGAGUUCUUAUCGAAAAAAAAGUUUGCGACCUCGAUGUUGGAUUAAAAUAAAAUUUUGGCGUAGAAGUUAAAAAUUUAGGUCUGUUCGACCUUUAAAAUUUUACAUGAUCUGAGUUUAGACCGGCGUGAGCCAGGUUGGUUUCUAUCUUUUAUAUAUUUAAAUGUUUUAGUACGAAAGGACCAAAUAUUUAAAUUAAAUUUUUAAGAUUUAAUAAAAUU
rnacentral:rRNA from 1 species